AGAAAGGGAAUGUACGCUAGGCAUACGGAAACCUGCUGUCUGAUUAUUUAGCAUUUUUGUUCAUAUCAAAACAUAGACAUUUGUGAUUUAGAGAGUUGAUAAUAAGUUUUUUAUAGUAACAAGGACUUACUUUAAAACGUCUAUAAAAAACGGAAGAAGGGAGAGAUUGAAACAUGGCGUCCAUAGUUCUAAACGAUUUGUCGUCGAGGUGGCACAGUCACUCUCCGACACAGGAAGGAAACCGUGUUGGAGACAUAAGGCCCCGAGUGGAGCACCAAUCAACUCCAUCUAUUGGCAGUCCCAGUGGACAACAAACCUGAUGCCUUAUCAAAGGAAUUGAUGGAAAGAACAUGGCACAAACACAACUGAAUCAUAGAGGUUGGAGACGCAAGCCCAGACAUCUCUCUCUCUCUCUCUCUCUCUCUCCCUCUCAUCUUGUUUCUGGCCCAUGGUAGUGAGGUAUUCUAGGCUCAGGGACAUGAGUCACCAUCCAGAGGAUGCUGUAUGACGUAGCGAACAACCUCUCUUCAAUCACGACAGCAAUCGG